rnacentral:lncRNA from 1 species
AAUGUAAAAAGCUGUUUUUUGAUAUAAAUAUGAACUUGAUUGAACAAAACAUGCAUGUAUUGUAUAACAUAAUGUCCUAGGGUUGUCAUCUGAUGAAGAUCAUCAAAGGUUAGUGGUGCAUUUAGCUGUCUUCUGGGUUUUUGUGACAUUAUAUGCUAGCUUGAAAAAUGGGUGUCUGAUUAUUUCUGGCUUGGUACUCUGCUGACAUAAUCUAAUGUUUUGCUUUCGUUGUAAAGCCUUUUUGAAAUCGGACAGUGUGGUUAGAUUAACGAGAGUCUUGUCUUUAAAUAGCUGUAAAAGAGUCAUAUGUUUGAGAAAUUGAAGUAAUAGGAUUUUUAAUGUAUUUGAAAAUCGCGCCACUGGAUUAGACUGGCUGUUGCGUAGGUGGGACGAAUUCGUCCCGC